ACCUCAUACCCCCCUCUUAUGCCAUGCGGUUUGGAAGGACGCCAUUUUGAGCGCUGUUCGAUUCUUAGCUUUUCUUUCUUUGAAAACCCUUUUCAGCCGAAUUUCGCGAUGUCUUUCGACAGCCAACGCGGUCCGCCUGAGAUAGAUGGCAUGACAAGCCUUAAAGUCGAUAAUUUAACCUACAGAACAACCGUUGAAGAUUUAAAGCAGGUUUUUAAGAAGUACGGCGAUUUGGGCGACAUCUACAUUCCCCGCGAUCGGAACACGCACGAGUCGAGAGGUUUUGCCUUCGUCAGGUUCUACGAAAAGCGGGAUGCCGAAGACGCUAUGGAUUGCAUGGACCGCCACUUGCUUGAUGGCAGAGAAGUUCGUGUUCAGAUGGCGAGAUAUGGUCGUCCCACGGAUUCCUAUCGGCCGAGGCGUUCUCGUGGUUAUGGUGGAAGUUCUCGUUACAGAUCGCGCUCAAGGUCUCGUUCUCCCCGCCGAAGAAGAAGCAGGGGAGGUUAUUCCCGAUCACGCUCACGCUCUCCACGUCGCCGCAGAAGCCCUUCACAUUCCCCAAAACGUCGAUCAAGAUCCCGUAGCCCUGUGCGACGUUCACGGUCUCGUUCAAGGAGUGGAUCACGUCGCAAAUCUCGUUCAAGAUCUCGCUCACCGCACCGUUCUAGAUCCCGAUCCGGUUCACCGACACCUGCUGCCUACAGGGAUGAGAGUGACCGCCCGGACUGUAACAAUGCCGAAGACUAACUGUUUGAUAUUAUGCGAUGUGCAUGUGUGAAUUGAGUGCUUUCUUGCAGGUCCCACUAGCGGUGGAUCCCUGAGUUGGGAGACCAUUAGUGCUGAUUUCUUGUAGCAUUGGGGCUGGGAACAACUCACUCCUGUGUUUAAUAGGCGCAGUAUAGUUACAUUGUGGGCUGUUUGUGCAGAUGGCUCUGUUGCAGUCCUGGAGCUGUAUUCCUGAAAUGCUGUUGUCUGCUGCUGUCAAUCAAAUUUGGCUGCUACUGAGAAAAUUUUGCAGAUUCCUGAUCAAGCUUUUUGGGUUUCUUGCUUACUCUGUCCUGAAAUACUAUAUCUGUGACUGGGUUCCACCUAUCAUGGCCAGUUAACUCAGUCACAGUGUGUUUUGAAAGGAUGGAGUAAGUUGUAAAAUUAUUUUUUUUAAUCUAAGAAAAAUAAUUUCAGAUGUUGGAAAAGACUAGAUUGGCCUCUGAAAAAAAACAUUUUUUAUUUAUAGCCAAGUGUGUUAAUGUGCCAAUCCAAAUUCCUUGUCUUGUUUGGGAAAAGCCCCUGGACAAUGACCAUCUAAACCAAUUAAUAACUGUCAUUUUUUCUGUGUCACAUAACCAUUUGACUGCACACAGCAAGGGGAUUGAUUGGUCAUGGUGGUAUGAUCGACUAUGUGCUAUUUCCUUACGGGAAAGGGAUUUGAAUUCUUGGUGGUCGCGCAACAACAAAUUUUGCUAUUUGUUAUUACCAGUGGAUGCUAGAUAGUUCUGCAGAUACUCUGUCCUCUUGAUUUGCAUUUGAGUCAUAGGGGGUUUGCACAUGUCUUAGCUUUCAGCAUUUUCAAAGAUAGGGCUCAAAUGAAUAAUAUUUCAUAAACUUUUUCCAUUAAUUUUCAUUCAUCAAACUGCUUUUUGUCUUAUGUCUCCCAAACUAAUGGAAUUGCUUUUUGCCGUUUGUGCUUGGUGAGUGCCCAUAGGUUGCAUGAUAUGAAACAAGCCAAUGAAAAGCUUCAGGGAUUUUAAUAAUGGAUUCAAGAAAGCAAUUUUGCUACUGGUAAUGGUUGACGAGAGCUUGACGAUAUUUAGUGGUGUCAGUUGCAACUAUAUUCCCACAACAAACCAUUACUGAAAUUUAUGUUCCUUAGAGUUUGGACAAAAUUCCACUAAAUCAAAUCACCACUGAAAACAACCUAUGAUGCAAAAUCAUCUACCAUUUUGAUAUUUCCAAUCAGUAUUUUGCAUUUUCUGCUUUUUGUUUGUCUCGAAGUAAUCUGAAUGAAUAGGUAAAAGGCCUGAGUUAUCCCUGCCACCAUGCUGUCCAUAUGGUAUGACAUAAACCCGUAAACUGGGUUCUUUGAAGUUGCAUGUCUACACUAAGAUACAGACCAAUGUCAUGGAAGGUAAACCUUAAAAAAUCUCAGAAGCUUUGGGAAUCCAAGUUUCGCCUAGUUUUUUUCAAACCUAGUAUGUAUGUCUUCAAGGGUUGUGUUUUCUUGCUGGCCGGGUUUGCUGACAAGCAUGGAGAAGGGGCUUGGAAUUUGAGAAAAGCCUACUUUUUUUUUGCCACGAUGGAAGAAAAAAACUAUUUAACGUGGCUAGUACUCUGAUUUUGCAAAGUGCAGCAAACUGCACAUGUGGAACUGGUCUAUUCAGUUGUUGGUGAAAAUCUGGCAUUUCAAAAGUGGUGUUGAAUUUUUAGGCUAGGCCAGAUGGUUCAGUAAUCUGGUUUAGCUGUCGAGGCUGUAGGAGGAGCAAAGUGUGACAGUAUUUUCUGGAAAUUGGUGGUAUUUGGAAAGAGAAGACUGCUAAAGCUUUUGCUAGUGUGAAAAUCACUAGCAUUGUUUGACCUAGCAAUGUUGUGGUGUUUAGGUAUCACAUGAAUGUGUCCAAAGAGGGGGGGUCCAAGGAAUCUGGACCCACCCUGUGCAUGACGAGAUAAAAACAUAAUGUCAUAAACUGUUGAAUGGAUAAUGACUCUAGUUGUCUCCUUUGUAGUAAUCGAGUUUCAGUGUAAAUUUGGAUAGAAAAGUCUGACUCUAGACUGCUUAGCGACUCUAAAGGUAAGGGGGUUCUCCCUCCCUUUCAAGCCGCUAAGCAGGCUUAGGGAUCUAUUGAUCAGUGCAUGGCUUAAAGCCUCAUUGUCACCAGUUUACUUCUGGAGGUCCGACGGAAACCUCAACCGUUAAAAGACAGAAGAAUCUAUUAGAAUCAGAGAUAUUUAACAGGCCAUCCGCUCUAAAUUAUCGAUCACAUCCUCGAAGAAACUUCCAAUAGACACAUUGCUUUCAGUAUUUUGAAAUAUUUUUCGCGUUUCCCGUUAAAAAUCAUCGGAGAUUGUUACGUAAUCGACCGGAAGUAAACUGGUGACAAUGCGGCUUUAAAUCUAGAAUCCUCAAGUCCUAACCCUUCCGAGGUUAUUGAAUUCUGCACUCCACCCUGCAUUCCUCUCUAUCAGUACUCUGUUUGGUCUUCAGUAAUUUUGUAAAACUUGCAAAGAAUGUCUUAACAAAAUAAAAUCCUCCUGUUUACUUCAUACCAGUACGUUUUCUAAAAAAAAUAUAUAUAUAUAUAUAUAUAUUCGGAGGACCUAGUUUUUACAUUGUGCAAUAUUUGCUCUGCCAUGGUGGUUCUGUCUGGACACCAUGUCUGGAGGUGCUGUGACGUAGUUCCCCUUCGUCUUGAGAUGAAAAGUAGUGACGCCAGCACUAUUGGUGUGUUUACUGCACUGGCUGAUUCAGGAUUAUAGGUAAGUAUUAACGGGGCUUAAGAUGUCUCAAGGGUUUUCGCAAUAGAAGCGAGCCUUUUUGACUGUUGGAUAAUUCCUGGGUUUCGCCAUGUAUGUAGCUAAAUGGAAAUGUAUUUUUAUACAGAACAAUUAAAAAUAAUUUUGGUUA